ACAAAAUAGAUUUGUUCCCGGAACAAAAUAGAUUUGUUCCCGGAACAAAAUAGAUUUGUUCCCGGAACAAAAUGGAUUUCUGGGAACAAAUCUAUUCGAAAUAGAUACUGCUCAUCAAAUGAUCGCUAUAGCCUUCGUUGUGUGUUUGGAGCACUUCGUGCGCUGACGAAGAUACGAAGCACUAUAAUGAUGUGCUGCAUCAAUGCUGGUAUUUGUGAACGCUUGCUUUGUCACUCAUAAUACCUUCUUUAAGGAAUCCACACAUUACUGCCCGUAUGAAUGAUUCAAAGUCCACUGCCUUUCAUGAAUUGUCCGUCCGUCCAUCCAACAUGUACGUCUGUGGUUAUUUUUUAUAUUCGAAUCGCUGUCUACUCAUUUAUAUCCACUUCCAUGAAUUGUCCGGACAUGUCCGUCCGUCCAACAUAUCAGUCCGUUUAAUGUUCGAUCGAAUUCUUAGGGUGUCCGUCCAUCCGCCAAAAAGGACCAUGGACAGUCUGUGAACAGUCCGUCCGAAAUGAAUUGUCCGUUCACCAAAAAUAUUGGACGGACAGACGGACAUUUCGUCCGUUGGGGGACGUUUGACCGCUAGCCAUUCUUUGGUUUACAGGUUGCAGGGAUUUGGUCGAACUUCUCAUCAAUCAUGGGGCUGAUGUAAAUGCGACAGACGUAAAUAAAUUGACACCGCUCCAUGUAGCUGCAGAAUGCGGCGCAUUGGAUAUUGUGAAGCUUCUGAUCAGUAAACGGGUGGAUGUUAAUGCAGAGAAUAUAAAUAAAUUAACGCCACUCCAUUUCGCGUCCCAAAAUGGCAAUGUGGAUGUUGCUGAAUUUCUCAUCGAAAAGGGGGCUAAUGUUCAUGCAAAAGAUGACAAAGAAUGGACACCGCUCCAUUUCGCAGCAAAAAACGGUCAAACGGAAGUGAUUAAAAUUCUAAUUAGGAAUGGGGCCCAAAUAGAUGCAAUAAAUUCAGAAGGAAAUACGCCACUUGACUCGGCGUGUAAAAAAGGUAAGUGUGAAGCG